CAGUAGCCGCGGGAAUACAGAGGGUGCGAGCGUUAAUCGGAUUUACUGGGCGUAAAGCGUGCGUAGGCGGCUUUUUAAGUCGGAUGUGAAAUCCCUGAGCUUAACUUAGGAAUUGCAUUCGAUACUGGGAAGCUAGAGUAUGGGAGAGGAUGGUAGAAUUCCAGGUGUAGCGGUGAAAUGCGUAGAGAUCUGGAGGAAUACCGAUGGCGAAGGCAGCCAUCUGGCCUAAUACUGACGCUGAGGUACGAAAGCAUGGGGAGCAAACAGGAUUAGAUACCCUGUAGUCCCUGUCUUAUACACA
rnacentral:rRNA from 1 species